UACGGGGGGGCAAGCGUUGUUCGGAAUUACUGGGCGUAAAGGGCUCGUAGGCGGCCAACUAAGUCAGACGUGAAAUCCCUCGGCUUAACCGGGGAACUGCGUCUGAUACUGGUUGGCUUGAGUGUGGGAGAGGGAUGCGGAAUUCCAGGUGUAGCGGUGAAAUGCGUAGAUAUCUGGAGGAACACCGGUGGCGAAGGCGGCAUCCUGGACCAUUACUGACGCUGAGGAGCGAAAGCGUGGGGAGCGAACAGG
rnacentral:rRNA from 1 species